rnacentral:rRNA from 1 species
GAUGAACGCUGGCGGCGUGCUUAACACAUGCAAGUCGAACGAAGCAUUUAAGACAGAUUACUUCGGUUUGAAGUCGUUUAUGACUGAGUGGCGGACGGGGGAGUAACUCGUGGGUAACCUGCCUCAUACAGGGGGAUAGCAGCUGGAAACGGCUGGUAAUACCGCAUAAGCGCACAGUACCACAUGGUACAGUGUGAAAACCUCCGGUGGUAUGAGAUGGACCCGCGUCUGAUUAGCUAGUGGGCGGGGUAACGGCCCACCAAGGCGACGAUCAGUAGCCGACCUGAGAGGGUGACCGGCCACAUUGGGACUGAGACACGGCCCAGAGUACUACGGGAGGCAGCAGUGGGGACUAAUGCACAAUGGAGGCAACUCUGAUGGAGCGCCGCGGCGUGAGUGAAGCAGUAGUUAGCUAUGUAAAGCUGUAUCAGCAGGGGAGAUAGUGACGGUACCUGACUAAGAAGCUCCGGCUAACUACGUG